AACGAACGCUGGCGGCAUGCCUAACACAUGCAAGUCGAACGAGACCUUCGGGUCUAGUGGCGCACGGGUGCGUAACGCGUGGGAACCUGCCCUUAGGUUCGGGAUAACUCAGAGAAAUUUGAGCUAAUACCGGAUAAUGUCUUCGGACCAAAGAUUUAUCGCCUUUGGAUGGGCCCGCGUAGGAUUAGCUUGUUGGUGGGGUAAUGGCCUACCAAGGACGACGAUCCUUAGCUGGUCUGAGAGGAUGAUCAGCCACACUGGGACUGAGACACGGCCCAGACUCCUACGGGAGGCAGCAGUGGGGAAUAUUGGACAAUGGGCGAAAGCCUGAUCCAGCAAUGCCGCGUGAGUGAUGAAGGCCUUAGGGUUGUAAAGCUCUUUUACCAGGGAUGAUAAUGACAGUACCUGGAGAAUAAGCUCCGGCUAACUCCGUGCCAGCCGCCGCUGUAACAC
rnacentral:rRNA from 1 species